rnacentral:lncRNA from 1 species
UUAAAUGAAUAAAUAAAGUAUUAUUAAAUUCAAUGAACGUACACGAUGUAUACAAUACAAUGCACGUACGUCGCAAAAAUUCAACUAUUGAUCUGGGCAAGAGGAGAUUAAUUAGCCUUAGAGAAGAUUGCGAGACAUGUUGAUCGGGAAAUAAGAAACCACGAUCGGCGGAGGGGAAUUAUGCUUCGACUUGGUCGUCUUGGUUGCCGGCGGCGUGGAUUUCUGAUCAUCAACGACGAAACCGUCAGUCACCUUGGAAGAAGAGGUUGGUGAUGGGGAAGGAAUGAAGCAGCUAACAAACAUCCCCGACAUCAAACCCAUUAAUAUUAUUGCUAGUAAAGCUAUGUUUGGUUUGGCUUUGACAGCUUGGUUUGGUUUUUCCUGUGAUGUUUCUCUGGUAAAGCUAAGCUAGCAACACUAUAUAUAAGGGCCAUGCCAUGUCUGAAGCAGAAGCAAUAUGGUCACGUGCCACUUGGAGAGCAAGGAAACCUACGUGUGGGCAGACUUUUCAACGACUAUACAUGUGUCGUUUGGUGAUACGAGGAGGGACGUCAAAGUGGGUGACUGAGGUGGCGGCUGAUUGCGGAGGCGGGGUCCACGCGGUGACCUACGUGGAUGUUAAAUGGUAAAGUGUUUGAUGCUUUCGUAUGUCACGGGGGUUAAGAGGCUAUGACCAAGUCAACAUCCCGGCGGCUUAAUUACGACGGCAAACGUAUCUUGGAAGGAGACGUACGCUUGGGGGCCAAGGAAACAUGCAUGCAUGGGCCAGGGUUUCCUAGUCAUGAUUCCACGUGUUAUUUCAUGAUAUGAUGAUGGUAGUUAGGGACAAACAAUACCUCGUCAAACUAUUUUCUUCUCUAAAUUAUUCCGUAAUUUAUUUUAUUAAACAUAUCUCAUUCGGCCAUACAAAUAAGGUGAUGAGGAGAACAUGAACACAAAUUCAAUAGACGUUUAUUUUUUAUUAUAAAAAAAUUUAAUUUGAAUUUUUAGCUAUUUUCAUCAUGUAUGCAGAAAGUAAUUAAGUUAAUUUAAAAAAUUUAAAUAUUAAUAAAAUUUUAAAAAGUAUUUUUUAAACUUCAUUUGGCUAUUAUUUGAAAGAUUUUAUAUGGUGAAAAUUUAAUUUUUAAUCAUUCCCAACAUGCAUGUCAAAUUUUAGCUAAUUUAAAAGAUUUUAAUUUUCACAAAAUUGGUCAAUUUCGUGACUAAGAAAAAAUUGAUCAUUUCACAAAAAGGAAAGGAAUUUUACAUAAGAGUAUAUAACAGUAUAUCAAUAUAAAACUUCAAUUUCACUAUUUUUAUAUAGAGUUUGAUGGGUUUUUUUAGCGGAUUAAAUUUUUCGGUUAGUAGCAGGUAGAAGAAAAAAACAAACAUUACAUAUCUAAUAUUUGUCUACGUGAGGUAUAAUUAGAUUUUUAUUUAAUAUCUUUAUAUCGUCAAUACCACACUUCUACUAUUAGAGUAUUUUUUAUGAGUUUAUUUUCCAAACUAAACCUCUUGGUUCAUACAAAGUAGAAGAAAGAAAAAAAAUUCUAUAUACGACCCACCGUAGGUGUAAAUAAAUUUAAACUCAGUGCAUCAGUCACCAAUUACACGAAAUUCUAUCAUUAAAACAAUUCCAUUUAAACAUUUUGAUCACUAGCUCUUGAAUUGCGGUGAUCUGGAUUAGCCCUCCCAUUCCGCAAUUACAUUCAUAUCUAGCUUGUUAACCACCCGCUACAAAAGGGAAAGUCGGGAAUUUACAGGAAAAUAGGACAUUACAAUCGGAGCGUCCGGCCGCCUCUGUUUACUACUUGCUGCUGCCGCCGGAGGAUGGUUGGAGUUGCUGCUGCUUUGUUUCACCGGCGAUGAUGCCUUGCUAUUUGAGUGUUCCACAUCGUCGGCAACCGCUGCCGCCGAGAAACAACAGACUACGUGGAUGUGAAAAUGGUCAGUUGUCUGCUGCUUUCGUAUGUACGGGGUUAAAAGGCUAUGACCAAAUCAGCAUCCUGGCUGGCGUUUGGCAAAGGAGGUUCGGAGAUAAUCAUGAUAUAAUCAUCUUGUUUUAUUUUGAUAAUAAAAUUAAUUUUAUGAUCAUACCCAUACGAUUAAUGAUUAUAAUCACUCCAAAUAAUUAUAAUUGCUCCCGUUGUGAAAAACUACAAAAUAGAAACUAAAAGUUCAAAAUGAAAACCAAUAUGCAUCCAUUUUAAUUUAUUUAGAAAAAAGGGUGAUGAGAUAUAUUCAAUCGAAGAAUAUUAGUUGAGUUUUAUAGAAGGCGAGGAGAUUAAGAGAUAUCUGUCGAAGACGACAAAUGUGAUAUUUUCGAUGAAAAAAUGGGUAAAUUGAUUAGGUUUAGUUUUCUUGAUAUAUUUCAUGUACAUUUCAGUUAAAUAGUAAGGUUAUUGGGUCCAUAUAUUAAUGGGUAAAUAUUUGAUUAUAUAACGAGUUGGAGAUGGUUAUAAGUAUUAAGUUGGAUUUAAUAUAACUAAAAUAUACGUGGAAGAUUAACAUUACCUGCACAAGAAUAACAUACAUAAAUCGAGAAAUGGUCCAUUUAUUAGUUAGUGGCAGAGCACAUAUAUACAACACCAACUCGAACAAGAUUUCAAAUCUAAUAGCAGANNNNNNNNNNNNNNNNNNNNNNNNNNNNNNNNNNNNNNNNNNNNNNNNNNNNNNNNNNNNNNNNNNNNNNNNNNNNNNNNNNNNNNNNNNNNNNNNNNNNNNNNNNNNNNNNNNNNNNNNNNNNNNNNNNNNNNNNNNNNNNNNNNNNNNAAAUCAUUUAUCUACAUAAUUUGAAUCAUUUAAACGAAAAACGUAGUCUAAGCUUUUAUUUGACAAAUGAAAUGACCUUAAAGGGCCUUGGUCUUUUACACUUUACAAAAAUCCCAUUUGAACUUGUUAAGUGUUUACAUAAGGUAAUGAAUCAUCCACAUUAGGAAUUAAAUCUUAAAAGGAUCCUAUUCUUAGAUUUUUUAAUUUAAUUUACACAACAACCAUUUCAUAUAUGGCAAAAAAUCCCUUAUUUUCUUAUUUAAUCCCUCAUAUUAAUUUUUCUCUUCUUAUAAAUAUUAAGCAAACCAAAGACAUAGAGGAUCAUCAAACACUAAAGAAAUUCAACGGCUAGGAUUUGAAUUACCAAACAUCUUUUGAUCGCCAUUGUUAAGAAAACACAGAACACAACAAGUAAAAAUGGCCAAAUCUUUUGUCGUGUAUUUUCUUGUUGCAUUGAUGUUGUGUGCUACCUCAGACGAGACGACGAUGAUGGCCGAAGCAGCAGUCUGUCACGCGCAGUUGGAUUGCUCGCAGGGCGUCGCUCGUUGUCAGGCGGUGUGCGGCUGGAGGUACGCCGGUACGGGGAGGUGUCUGAAAAGCCCGACGACCGGGGCUCAAGUGUGUAUUUGUGAUUAUAAUUGCUGAGAGGGAUAAAAUAAAUAUCGUUUUUAAUCAACUUCUGAUGGAAAAAUAAAUAAAUAAUAAAGAUUUUUUUACAUAUUGGCGUCUUAGCCAUUAAUAAUAUUGACAAUAAAAAGUUCUUCUUAUUCAUUUUUGUUAAAAGUGUACAUUGAAAAUACAAACUCCACAAAUAAAAUUAUAUGGACCGCAAAUAUCUACAAAAACGUUAAUUUCGAUCCUUACUCACAGCAUACUGUCAACGACAAUGAACACAAUCAUUUGGAGGCAUUAGCUUCAUUUUUGGUAGAAGGGUGGACUUACAGACUGAUAUUAUUAGUUAGGAAUAAAAUAGAGGAACACGAUCCCAAUAGAAUUGGUCCAGAUACAAUUAUUUGCAAAAGAAGUAAUUGGGUGAAAUUCAAAAGGACAAGAAUGGCCCAAGUGACGAAGAAAUCAACAACUCGAUUGCAUUUUCUAAAUGUUUGUAUAAUCUGAACAUCCUGAUCUUGAUGGAGGCGAUGUUGCAGCUCACUGACGUUUGCCGAAUGUCUGGCAUCAAUAAGGAAUUUUUGUUAAUGUAAAAAAUCACGACUAUCGAAUCCGCUUGAAGGUUAACUUUUUUGUAUCGGUUAUUCCAAGCCAUCCGAAGAUCAUAAACAUCAACUUCAUUGCACACUCGAGCUGACACAAAAUAAUAAUAUCCCUCAAAUCGAGCCGACAAGACAUAAUAAUCUUAGUUUCUCAUUGAUAAAAAAAUAGUUAGGUUUCUCCCUUUCCAACAAUUUGAAUUAUUGAGGUACAACGAUUUUUGAUAUAGUAUCAGAGCAUUUAGACUAAACGAUUGUGUGUUCUAAUCUCCACGACCCCCAAUAUUAAAAAUUGAUUUAAGCAUAAGGUAUGGUUGACCUUUGCAAACUUCAACCCCAUAAGUUGGCUUUCGUUUAAGAGGACUUGAUUAGAAAAUAGUAUAAAAUCCAUCAUUAACCCUUUCCUAACAACUCGAGUUAUUAAGAUGCAACGGUUCUUGACACACAACAAGAAUUGAACAACACUUGUACACUUCCGAGAUAUCACAUAAACCCUCCUCCCGAACAUGAUGCUAAAUGGCUCUGAUUCUUCGAUAUCCUCUCUCUCAAAUUAUAUAAAACCUAUCCCAAACAAGAGUCGAUGAUAUUAGACAACCGAGUCAAGUAUAUAAAUGAAGAAAUAAAUUAUUAUUAAAUUCCUCAAACGACUACCGUAAUAAACGACUCGAAACUAAAUUCAAAGUACUACAAAACUCGUGAUUAUGUCUUAAGAAAAACAGAAACUUAUCAUCAUCUAUCUACUGCUCUGGCCAAAACAGAGGAUUACUUAAUAAGCUUAGAGGAGGUUGCGAGACAAGUUGAUCGGGAAAUGAAAAGACACCACGAUCGGCGUAGGAGAAUGCUUCGACUUGGUCGUCUUGUUGGUCGACGAUUUCUGAUCAUCCACGACCAAAUUAUCGCCGGUCACCUUGGAAGAAGAGGUUGAUGAAGAUGGAGAAGGGAGAAAGCAGCUGCCAAACAUGCCCGACAUCGAACCCAUUUUUCGAAACGUUUUUUUGUUUCGAAAUGCUAAGCUUUGCUUGAUGUUUUCUGUUGUGUCUGAGCUAAGAUAGCUAGCGACAGUAUUUAUAAGGCAAAUGUCUGAAGCUGCGGUCUGCGGGUCAGAAGAUUUUUCGUGGAAAGUUCUUACAACUGACGCAGUCUCUGCUGUGUAUCAGUUAAGCUAAGGACUAUGAAAGUCAACUGGAGGUCAAGAGUGGUUGCGUGGUGGAGUGGGAAGCUUGGGGACCAAGGAAUCCUACGUGGCCUGACUUUUCAACGGCAGUCGUCAACUUGUCGGGAGUGACUGUGGUGGCGGCUGACUGUGGAGGAGCGGUGGGGUCCACACUGACGCGUGGAUGUGGAAAUAGUGAAGUGUCUGUUUCUUUCCUAUGCUAUUGAUUUUAAAGAAAAGAUCGCGGGUCAUUGGAUUAGUCUAAUUUUAAGUUAACUUUUAUUUUAAAUUUUAAAUAAUUUUUUAUAUUUGGUCCGAACUAAAUCGGUUCCAAGCCUAGUGUUGGGUUAUGGAGCUGAUGGAUUGAACAUCUUAGAAAUUAAAUUAUAUAUUUUUAGAUGAAAAUAAUGGGUUGAUGUAGAGGGCAUGUGAUGAUAUCGAGUUUAUCUAUGUAUUUAUGGAGAUCAAGACAAUCAUGUUGUAUAUUAUUUCGUUAAUAUUGGACCCGAGAUGUCACUGAUUUAUAUAGAUAGUUUUCCUAUUUUUUUUAUCAUUUUGGUCAUGUCUUUUAUUUAUAAAGAUCAUUUGUUUGCAAGAGACUGUUAGGACAAACUUGGUGUUGGUCAUCGACAACCUUAAGCCAUCGGUCUAGUUGCACUUAGCAGGAGGUGUCAUCAUUACAAAAAUUCGCAAAAUAUUUAUACAAUUUUCGUCAUUUUGCACCACUCAACGAUCUUUCAACCAUCUAGCUCACAACAUCCCAACUUUGCACCUUGAUUUGUCUCACCAUGGAGGAUAAUUCUAAAUUCGUUCAUAAUUGUUAUUUCAUUCGUUAUCUCUUUUAUUUCUACUUUAUUUUUUUUAAUAAUUAGAUUUGUGUGUAAUUUCGAUUUCUCCUCCUAUGAAGCAACUUCUUUUCGUAGUGAAAUAAUGAGAUAGCUUUUAAUGGAUCAGAUUGGGCUGAUUACUGGAUCUAAAAGUCGGGGCCCGUUCAUUCUACGUGAGUGGUCACAGGGCCCAAAUUCUCCAGCCGGAUUCCGAUGCUCCGCCGCGGAAGUUUUGAUAUUCAUAUUCCCAUUGACGGCGAAUCCUGAGCUUUCUUUUUUGCAGAGAAUAAUAAUCUGUAAAUCGAACAACGCAAUUGCUGGUAACCGAUCGGGGAAGACGAAGUGAGGGGAAACUAUUUGGAUCGAUCGGGGGGAGCGGAGAUGACUGUCAAAAUUUUGGACGCGACGGUGGCGAGCUUCAACGAGGUGUUCGAGAAGUUCAAAGCAGAGUCGCCGAAAUUCAAAUCCAACCUCAUCCUCUUCCUCGCCGACAACGAUCCGUCCACCAGUCUCAGCUGGUGCCCAGGUCAGUCACUGAUGAUCGGAAUUAGCUCGAUUUGGUGAACAAAUCUGUUUAUAGGGUUUUGUUGGUUUAUUAUGUUGAUUUGUGCGGCCAGAUUGCGUGAGGGCGGAGCCGGUGAUACAGAAGAAGCUGGAAGCUUCCGGCGAUGACGUGGCGCUCCUCCGAGCUUACGUUGGGGACAGACCCACUUGGAGGAACCCACACCACCCUUUGAGGGUGGAUUCGAAGUUCAAGCUCACUGGUGUCCCGACUCUGAUCCGCUGGGAGAAUGAUGCUGUUAAAGGAAAGCUUGAGGAUCAUGAAGCUCACCUUGAACGCAAAAUCGAUGGGCUUCUAUCCACUACCGAGUAAAACAGAUAAGACAGACUGCACAUUUCUGUUUGCACAAAUAAUGGAGUCAGAAGAUACAUGGCUGCCUCCCUAGUGGAACAAUGUUGAUAUUUUGUUGAAGAUUGAUGAUGGUGAUGAUGAAUAUGUUAUGAAAUUGGAUUUCGGAAAUGCUCUGUUUCAGAGUCUGGAAAUCAUCUAAUGGCUGAGUAAAUUAGAGGCUAAUGUUCGUCGAUUGAUACAUGGUGAGAAAUCCUACGACUAUUUUGUUUAGACAUUUUAUCAAAUGAGCAUCUAAUUUAGAGAUUGAGGCGGUCAAAAUUGGACUCAAUUUCGGACGUUGGAUACGUUUUCCGCGGCCACAAAGUGACUGAGAACUGUUUUAUUGCUAUUUUGGGGCUUAAUUCUGCCUAAUUUCAGCGGUUGGAUUUCGUUGGAGAGGCAUGUGAAGUCAAGUCCCCUAUCGGGUACCGCAUGAUAAUGUUUAAUGUCGUUUUCCGCUCUUUCACCUCCAAGUCCGGCAAGCACCUCCAAAUCCAUCCGAAUUUUGGACCAAGGUCCGACCAAAUUGAGGAUAUUGUCGUAGCCGUAGAAAACGUAUCCGGCGGAAUUAGUCUGUGCAGCCAACCAAAUCCAACUCUUUGAAUAUUUCAUGAGUACUAAUGAGCCGUCAAUUUACAACUUUUUGUUGUUGUUAGAGUAGACCGAGACUCUCGAUCAAUACAAUAUAUAAAAUAAACACUACAUUAGUGUUCAUUUCGUUAGGUUAGGUGUGAUAGAUUCGAAAACGAUAAUAAUUCCUACAUAAUAGUUAUUUAUAAUAAAAAAAACAAUGUAGUACCCCUAGCAUCUAUUUUGUACAAAACGACACCGAUUAGCAAACUGCAGCCUGCAGCUUCCAAAAUUACUAGACUAACCAUUAUCUAACCAUAAAUUACGACUUCGCCACUAACCACACCCGCUUAAUCUAGUAUCUACACGACUACACCAAACCAAACCUCUUACUUAUGCUUAUACCCGACGGAGCUUCAAAAGAAUGUCACCGUACGGCUCGUCUUGCUGUACAUCAAAGUUCAAACGGAUGCUUUCCUGUGGAGCCUCUCUUUCCACUUCCACAACUCCAUGGCUCUUCAGAACCUGCAGUUUUGCAGAAAAAUUGCAGCUUCAGAGUUGGAUUCUAAUCCUAAGAGACAACCUGAACUUUUGAGAGCAGCUUUACAAAGUUAUAUUACCAGAGUUUCAUAGAACAUUCUGGCACAGAGCUUUCUUGGUUUCCCUAGUAAGAUCUGGUUGAGACUGAUUUCUUUAGAAGGGUCGUCCAUUCUCGGAGUGAUUGGAGUUCGUCUUUCCAGAUACUGAGCUACAGCCCUGAGGAACAGAAAGAAUCAAAGAUUAUGUCAUUUGAAGAUUCUGAUACAGAUGAGCUGGAUGAAAAGAAAAAGCUCCAGAUGAAAAGAUUCUUCUUUUAUGCUGUGUACCUUGUUCUACCAGACAACUGAUGACCUCCUUUACCGCUUUUCCUUGAGGAUCCUGUUACAAAAUAUCAAGGAUGUCAAUAAGAUAACCAUCAGUAACAUCUACAGAACUCUUAAGACUUAUGAAUCUGGAACAGCUAGCUCACCUGCUGGUGUGUUAUCUGCUUCAGGAGAAUAAUCCUGCAGAUUGGAACAGAAUCCAAGUGAGUCAAAUUUAUUAAAGUGGGUCAGUAGGAAAUAGUACAAAUUUGAGACCUUUUUUGUAAUGCUCAAAGCCAGAAACACCAACAAUACUUACUUCCAUUUCAGGGCUUUCCCUCAAUUCAAGUAUAUGAGAAAGCUGAGUGUCCUCCGCAAAAAAAGGAUCAUCAUCAUCAUUAUUCGUCCUCGGAGUCAUCAAUCCGGAAAUGUACGUCCCUAUCGAGGUGGUAAAGUCAUCUACUGUCUGCUGAUUUCCACUUCCAGAAGUCUGCCCUGUUGCAAGAGUCUCUUUGGUUGAUUGAAAGUUCCUGGGGCUAGGUGUCGAGUCAUCAUCAUCCCGUCUAUGAAUAGGCGAAUGCUGGAUAGGCGAAUCCGGAAUCUCAGGUCGAUCAUUAUCUUGAUGGUGGCUUCCAGCAUUCCGGAUAACUUCAGGUGAAUCAUUGUCCAUGUCCUCCCGGACCAAAGGAUUCCCAUCUGUUGGCUCCAAGACGGUCUCAACUACAGGAGCAGAAGGAGUUACUACAUUCACAGGAGUUACGACAUCAUCUCGAACAGGAGAUGUUCGGCCUUGAGUCUCCGUUGUACCUUCCUCCUCGUGAAGAAUCGCAUGGUGCUUUACGAAAUCAUGGCCCUCCUCAAAGAAGCUACUCAAAACAGAGGACAUCCCUGAUAAAGAAAAACAAACAAAGCACAAGCGUGUCAAGCAAGCAACUACAAGAUGCAUACAAAAAAUAGCUUAUAAUAGGUUAUAACUAGAUUAUAACCAGUUAUCAAUGGUUCGUGGAAAACUCGAUCCUUCUUCAAUCUCUUGUUCUGCCUCCAGAUAUCCAAAGAAGAAGGUGCAUUCCUCUUGGUGCGCAACAACCCAGUAGAACUUUCUAAGCGCCUCUUGAUAUAACUAAUAAAUCCAUCAUGAGCAACCACCAUUCAAUAAAAUAAAUAAAAGCACAAUUCGGUGGGGGCAUUUAUGAAAGUAUGAACAUUACUUGUUAGUCAAGACUGUGACUUCAUCAAAGUACUUUCUCUUUAUUCCCCUCGGCCGAAGUUGCUGAGCAGGUGGCUCUGGUUGCUGAACAGGUGGUGUUGAAGCUGCAACAUGAAGCCCAGGGGUUGACUCGCCAGGUGGUGAAUUUGGACUGGAAAACAGUGGAUCUCCUCCGGAAGGAGGAGAAUUCGGAGGUUCUGAAUGUGGCGGAAGUUGAAACGAGGAAGGCUCAUUUGGGAUAGGAUCAGUAGUAAUGUCCUUAUCGAGCAAAUUUUGCUCCGAAAGGAUGCUUGUGUCAUCAGUAGCAUCCUUUUCCCAGAUAGGAGACAGAUUAGGAAGUCUUACCGGACCGGAAUCAUGGGUAGCAUCACGCAAGAUUCCGAAAUCAGGAGAGGAGUCAUCGUUGUUGUCAGUAUCCUUGGAACCAAGAUUUAUGGUCACAUUGCUUUGUCCAGACUCAUUAAUCUCAGUAUGUACAUCGGUAUGAUCACUUGUGCCAGCUUCAGUCUGAUUAGUUGGACCAGUGUCUUGCAACGCUGUUUCAGUUUCAGUAUGCAAGACUUCUGUCUGAUUGCUUGGAACAAAGCUUUCAUGAUUUCCAUCAAAGUCAUCGAUAGAUGUGAAUGGUGGAAAGGUGCUGCAAAUAACACAGAAAAAGAGGCAUCAGGACUGGUGAUUCUUUGAUAAUUUGGUCAUGAGAUUGCCAGAAUUCAGUCAUUAUAACUAGUUAUAUUUGAAAAUAAUCAGUUCUAAUACUAAAUAACUAAUUAUAUUACUAUAGUAACUGGCUACAAGAUGAAAUAACUAGUUACUAGAAAAGCAUACUCAUGCAUUCCUGGUAUAGUUCCCAAAUCAUCAGCCUGCCGUGAAGGUGAACCAUCAUCUGACAAGUCCUGUACAAAAAAAGCAUCAAUCUUUCAUCAACCAAAAUCUACAGUACCAAACACAAAAAAAAAAGCAAAAGAAAAGACUAACAUCAUCAAAAGUGACGGCGACAAAUGGGUCUACACCAGUAGGAAUUUGAUCUGUAAGUGUUAUCUCUUCACGACUCUUGAGAUUUCUGUCAGGAGACCCAUCAGAGAAGGAGUCAUAGUUGAUCUCAACAUCGUCAAGGUUAAAAAUUUGCGGCAAGGUGACUGAAUCAAACGCAGCCGUUCGAUCAUUCUCAGCCAAAUUGAUAUCUGUGGCAACCAAUGCCUUCUUCAAGCCAAUCACUAGUACAUUACAGUCGUGCAAGAGAUAAUCGACUUUCUUCGAGUAUAUACGAGAAACUCCCAGCAGAAGGUGCCCUGACAUUCUUAGUGCAAUGGGAACUUCUGGAUUCAUUAUACACUCUGUGUGCAUUUCAAACAUCAACAACUCAUGAGUAACUAAAAAAAGCAUGCUCCUUCCUUCAACCAUAUAAUUGAAUGGAGAAAAAGAGAGAUACAAUACCAACAACUGAAUUGAUAUCGGUGGAAGUGUAAUGAGAUUUCUUGAGCCUGUGUUGCAAGUGAGCGGCGCACCAUACUGUCCCGAGUGGACCCUUCCGAGCUAGAAAUGUCUGUGAGUAAAACAUCUAGCCCUGCCUUCUUCUUCAAUAACUAAUAAAAUUUCAAGGGUUUGCAAUCCGCACUGAAUCAAUCAACUAUGGCUUGGCUUGCUAGGUGGAAAGUUAGAUUGAAUUUUGAGCAAUCCACACACAAUUUCGUCAUCAAUCAAUCAAGUGAAAAGUUUGGAUGAAAUUUUGAGCAUUUUCCGUCUAAGUCUAACGGGGAGGAUCAGCUCAAAAAGAAAGAACGAAACUUGAAACACGCCCAGUUGCUCAUUUACAUUCAAAACAAGUAAGGCAGGCAAAUGAGAGAAAAUGGGAGAGAGUGGUACCAGUUGAAAAGAGAAAGAAGCGCUCUGACUGGUAGCUGUAUCGGCGGCGGCGGCAAAAGGGGGCGGCGGAGCAAAAGACUCACACUUUCUUCUAUCUUCCGACCUCCGGCGACGGGCCUCAGUUCAAUAUUUUGGGUGUUUGGAUUUCCGAGUGAGUAUUUGAUUGCUUAACUUCUGUAUUUGGUUUAGGGUUUUGAAUGAGAGGGGGGACGGAAUCGUCGGGGGUAGUGGAGGGCGCGGGAAACUAAAUGGCGGCAAACCAAAAUUAAGGGGGGAAAUUGGAGUUUUUCCGCUCUUUUGUAUUUGUUUAAGGCCCCCAAUUGUUAGAGAAAUAGCUAAUUGGUCACUUAUCUAUCUUAGAUUCUACAAGAUAGUAGCUUACCUGUAUAAUAUUGCCGUUAUGGUUCUGAUUCAGGUUUAAUAGGAUGAUAAUCAUCAUUAAUAUCCUACCAAAAACUUCACCAUUAACAUUUAGAAAAUAAACACUAAUGAUUUAAUAAGAUUUGAUGAGUGAUUUGGAUUACGAAUGUUGAAAUUGGUUAAUUUUUUGCAUGCAUGUGGUGAGAAACUGUUAGAAAUUCAAGUUAAUUUUUUUAUAAUCGUAAAUACAUAUAUCUCCANNUGUGUGUAAAAAUUGUAAAAAUUUAAAUUAUAUUUUUUAUAAAUCGAAAAAAAUUAUAUCCCCCCAAACAACCAUAAAAAUCCUUUAAAAUAUUUUAGUUUCAUUUCGCUAUUAUUUGAAGGGAUUAACAUGGUAAAACCUUGAUUUUUAGUCAUUCUCAACAUGCAUAUCAAAUAUUAACCGAUUUAAAAUUUUUCAAUUUUCAUGUCAAAAAUGGUCGAUUUCCGUGUGUUAUACUAAGGAAAUUUGGUCAUUUUCACGAUAAAAUUUUAAAAUUUUCAAAUCGGUUAAUAUUUGACAUGCAUAUUGGAAAUUGCUAAAAAUUUAAGUUUUACUAUGAUAACUCUAUAAAUAAUGGUUAAAUGAAGUUAAAAAUCAAUUUUACUUGGUGUUAUGUUAGUGAUUUUCAUAUUCCUUACUUUCUGCAUACAUGUGAUGGAAAAUCGCUAGAUAUUCAAGUUAAAUAACAGGUUCGAAUUCGAAUUAACCAUAAAUCAGAACUUAGCAUAACAUGUGUACACUAGGCAAACGCAAGAAGCACACUAGAGCAAGCUAUCGGUUCUAGCAGACAAUCUCUUGAAGAAAUUGCUUGGCACACAAGGAAGCUUGGUACGGAACCUAGGGUGCCUCAAGUAGUACAAACCCGAACCCAUAGCAACCACCCUAAACGGCGUCACAUAAAGCACUAUAGCCGCACAAAGGCAAAACACUACGAACAAACUAGUUGCUCUGGGGUCCCUCCAGCUCAGCAGUGACUGAAACCUCUCCCCUUGCGUCGCGACAUCCCCCACCACGGACUGUAUCCUGCCGGCAAUGCUCCUGAGCCUGUCGUACCUCAUCCUGACAAGAUCGUGAGCCCUCGAAGUAGGGAACGUGUCGAACUCCUCGUCGAGCUCGUCGGGGCUCACCGCCUCCGCCCAUGAUAACUUCGUGUCCAUGUGAGGCGGGUGCCUAGGCCGGAACCUGUAGUUCCAGAUCCCAAUCAGGAACAUGUAGAGGAACGUUGUCGGGAGGAUCAGCUCCGGGUACCAGAUUAGUAUCAGGAAAAGGACGUGUACUAAUACUGAUGUCACGGGUUUCCUCCAUUGGCAAAUGUCGUCUAACCACUUACUCAUCGAGACUGCCCCCGAUACCAAUGACAUGAUCCGGAAGAAGUUGGCCUUGCUCCUCCUCAUGCUCCACAUGUGCGAAUCCACGUCUAGCAUGUACUCGACGACUUCUUUCCUGAGCGGCGGCUCUGCCCUGCCUAGCCUCACUGCUACGAUGUUCAUCGCUUGGUACCUGUUAAUCAAUAAUACAAAAACCAAUCAAAACCCUUCUCCCACACAACUCGACUACUCAAGAAACAAAUGGUUCUUGAAAUUACCUUAGGCUUUCGACUUGGUUGACCGUUAACGGAUGCAGGUAGUGCAUCUUCGGCAGAAUCGGUUGUCCGUACGCAAAUAUCAAGUUGGCUAGUGACAAUGUAGUGAACCGAAUCGCGAGAUGAAGCUCGCCCAUCUUCUUCACCCCGCUCGAAUGCAGCGCCAGGAGCGGGUAGGAAUUUGUAUAGGUCCGGUGCGCUUCUAACGUCGAAAGCCGAAUCCUGACCUUCCCGAUCCUCGAGUCUCGAACCGAUUUCUCGUUAACCAAAUGACAGUUGUCGAACACUCCUAGAGUGAUCACGGUGCACGGGUCAUACACUUCCCAAGUGUACUGCUCGUUCCAUUUAGGGUUAAAAGAGUCGAUUACGGUUCGGGUACGAACCCAUUUCUGUCCGUACUUCGCUACACAGUACGAAUCAGUACUCCCCCUGCCGUCUUUCAUCUUCAUCGGAAGAAUCCCCUGAGCUCCCAGAACUCCGACCUCCAAUAUUCCGACAGGCUGCUGCUUCCAAAGCUGCCUCGCCGUCGGUCUCUGAUCGCUGAUGUACAUAGUCGAUUCGUCCAUCACAUGGUAACCUCCUUCCAAACAAACUCUAAGGUGAAUCCUGCUCGCGAAUUUCAUAUCCUUCCUCCGAUCACCUUCCAAUCCUCCGAAUCCGAAUUUCUCCAGAUUGAACCACCGCGAAUGAACAGGGCGAUGAUCCAUCCGCUUCUCGAAUGCCGCCACCGGGAAAGUAAUCUUCCCGAGCACGUCGUCUUUCGACGGAUGAACUCUGUCCUCCACGGUGACGAUCACCUGCUCCUCGAAAGGCUCCGCCGCUACAAACAUCAAAUCCUCGUUCCAGAUCGGAUUAAUCGUCGGGAUAUGGUGAAUCCUCGUCUUCAGAACCUGAUUCCCGAUCUGAACUUUCACGAACACCUGCGGGAUUCGGUUUCCGUCGCCGAUCGGAAUCAGAUCCUGAGCUUCGAUCACGUUCACACGGACGUACCACAGCUUGGGAGAGACAUAGACUUUUGACCUAACUCCGACGGCGGCGCCUCCGCUGAUUCCGGCGGAAUCGGCGUUCCAAGCUUCCGGAAACGCUUCAUCAGCUUGCGUCCCCAUCCAAACGACCAGCAUGAUCUCGCCGUGGCCGCCGCUGCGGGCCCGGCAGGGGCGCUGGGGUGGCGGCGCGGGCGCUGUCGCUGAGCUGCGAGUGGACUGUCCGGCGGGACUCUGGUGGGGAUUUCGUUCAAAUCGAAGGUGACUCUGCCGAGGUAAUCGUCUCCCUUGAUCUCUCUGUCCUUUACGUAGACUUCAAGAACAGAGGAUUGGAUUCUGUCCUUGGAGAAGGCGAAUACCUGGUUCCAUUCAGGAUUUGAUUUCUUCUCGAAAUGCUUUGUUCUUCCCUUGUAGUUGCCGAGUUUGAUUUCGACGUACGGAUCGCAGGUGUUGGCGAUGGAGGAAGCUGGAGGGAGGUCUUUGGCUUUCACUACUCGGACAUAAAGGUACGAGAUUUGCUCCACCAGGUCGAAUUUCGUCGUAGCGGACGCCGAACUGAAUCCUGAUCUUCCAGAUUGCCACAACCUCUGCCCUCGAUGUACAUUGGUGUCCUUCAAGAUGUAGUUAUCAUCAUCAUCAUCUUCGUUGUUGCGGCCGCGGUAGUGCUGCCCUGAGGCUGCACUGUUAGCAGAAGUAGCAGCAGCAGCAAGAUGGUGCAUUUUCAGGUUAACUGUAUCUCAGGUUUUGGACCAAUUGGGUGUCUUAUUUAGGAUGGUGAAGUGAGCUGUGAGAUUACUGCUUUUGGAUAAGGACAUGAACAUUCUGAAGAAGAAACCGGAAAGCUGAAACAUGAAGCAAAGAACAUAUGCUUAGCUCAUAUGGUAUGAAGAAGGAAGGAAUGAUUUCUCCAGGAAGCUGCAGGCUGCUACAGAAAGCAACCAAGAGAAUCUAUCUACAACAGUUUUCAUUGAGAAUUCAGCAGAAAGGAAGCGAUCCAUGCAAUCAUUUGUUACAGAUGGCUUUCUGGGCUUUUAGUACUCUUUUUUUUCUUCUCAAGCUUUCAUCUUUUCCUGGUUUCCUCCUUUGUUUUCGACGGUGUAAUGUUCGGCUUUCGAAGUUAUAUCACUGUGAUCUAAUAGCUUCUUUGCCAAGUAAAAUCAGAGUGUUGAAGGGAUCAUUAAACAGCUCGAAAAGGGUUGGAGAAAGAAGAAAAGAAAACGAUUCUUAUCUUGCGAAGGGAGCUAUCACUAUACAUACACUUUCAUGGAAGUUUAUGUCGGUUUUUUAUACAAGUUAGGGAGCCUUUUCGUUCCGCUAUCGAGUCGAUAGCAUAAAAUGUUUAUGAAAUCGAGAAGAAGCCUAAAAUGUUCAUGAAAUCGAGAAGAAGACAUCACCUUAUCCCUCCAACGGAUACAAUUAGGGGAAUCAUAUACCGGAACCAUAAGAGAAUUCAGGAUUUCAGCUCCGAAUCGUUGGAUACCAGUUGCAAUACUAGUUAUUAUUAGUUUCAUCAGUAUGUAUUAGUAUUCACUAAUUUUCGUUCAUCGUUAUGCGACUUAAUUAGCCCGUCAAUACCGAAACCGGCCUGAAGUUAACAUAGGGAUGCAUCCAAAACAUGGAAAAAUGCUCAACAUUUAUUCACCAAAUCUCUACCAUCUCAACAAAAAGCAAUCCCUAAUCACUCUAAAAUCAUUCCCCAAAUUAUUGGGAAGAUCUUUUCUGAUCUUCUGAUUAGACAGUCCAAUCACCAGAUACCAAAAAUGAGAGAAGGAAACAUGAAAAUUAGAGGGUGUCUGCUGCAAAAGCUAAUCAAACAUUUCAGCUCUCCAAAAUUUCAGGCUGCAGCAUGAGAAGAUUUUGUCUUCCCUUUCUUAUUAUCCAACGAUGCCAACCCUUUGCCUAGACCAACUGGAGCCUGCUGCUGCUGCUGUUCUUGUCCUUCUACCGGGGCUGCGCCGUUCGCCUCGGUUUUCUCACCAUCCACGACGGCAUCAGGUGCCGUCAUGAGAUUCAUGAGCUGCUGCAUAGGUGGCACGGCUUGGACCGGAACACCGUGUGGCCUGAUCAAGAGCCCUCUAGCGGCGGCCUUUUUCCUGAUUUCUGCGGCAGCACGGGCGGCCCUUUCGUCGACCCCUCUUCCUCGAGGAAGGGUAUCACCCACCAGUGCGGCAUUGAUCGAUUUGGUUACGGAUGGAUUGCCACCGCUCCCUGAUGCUCCAGCAGUUGCUGCUGCUUGGAAUGCUUGCAGGAGGUCUGGAUGAGCCUGAAACCACAAGAGACAACGAUAAUGAAGAUAUUAACUGAUAAAUUCUAAACUACUCACAAUUUUUGCAGAUGCCAAACAAUGUAUUUGGGCCAAAUUACAAGACGGCGACCAUGCCAUGACCAAAAAGCUCAGAACUUUUUCCACUGGAAACACAAUUGGACAGAGGAAAAGGUUAAGCAGAAUCACCUUCAAGAUGUCCAUUGCCUUCUGGGCAGAAACUGCAUUCAAUGCCUGGCCUUUCUGCUUCUGAGCAUUCAUCUGCCAAAGAAAAGAUUGUGUUAAACCUCAGCAUAAUAGAGCUAGAAAGAAUUACACACAGUUCUUCAUAAUUAGCAUGCAUUAACCAACCUGAAGCUCCCGCGUCCUGAAGGUCUUCAUCCAAUUUAGAGAAUCGCGUGUUCUAGAGUCGUCCUCGCCAAGCUGUUUGACGAGAAUAUCAUACGUGUUCUUCUCAUGCUGUUAAAACAACAAACGGUGUGUUAUUCAUGAAAAAUGAUACAUUGGAUGUUCAUGUUCCUUAGUAUUUCAAGAAUCCAUACCUGAUGUGAUAGCUUGAAGGCGCCUAUACAAUUGAAGGCGAUAGCCAAAGCGUGGUAGCAUACAGCGGUCUGAAUAUGCUCUUGGCCUAACAACCUCUCGUUCUUCUUCAAGGCCUCUUGCAGAUACCGAAGAGCUGUGUUCAUCUUCCCGAUGUCCUGGAACAUCAUAGCAACGUUUAUAAAUGUCGCUGCAACAUCAGGAUGAUCAGGGCCGGACGACAAACUCAAUAAGAGCAAUGCCCGAGACAUGUGCCUCAGUGCGAGUUCUGUUUGGUUAAGGCCAUGGUAAAAGAGAGCCAUGUUCCCGUAGCUGCAGUCAGAAACAAAAUGAACAACCAAGUAAACAUUAAGGCAUGGCCAUUUGAGAAUAUAACGUGAGAAGAAAAUAAAAAUGCCUGUGAGCAGUGUCAGGGUGAUCUAGGCCGAGGCAACGUUCGUUUAUAAUCAACUCCUUGUGCUGCUGAAUUAUUGCUCCAGCCAUAUCUCCAGCAUGGUACAGAACCAUAGCAAGGUACCUGAGAAACAAGAGGUGGAAGCUCAAAUCAAAUUUAGGACAGAGAUAUUAACAAACAACAAUCAGCAUUGGUAGAAGUAAGCUGUUACAGUAACUGAUCAAAGUUACUAGAUUUUAUCAACAUUAGAAACAGAUAGGAUAGAAGCUAGGCCGUGAUUUAUUACCGGCAGCAGUUGGCAACCUCGCGAUGCAUUGGCCCGGUAACCUAGAGCACGUAACAAACAAAUUAAAUGGAGAAUGAAUACUUCUACGAACGAAAAAAGUAACAAGUUAAGAGAAAAAACCUGUUGAAGAAUGGAGAAAGCCUCGGAGAAUAAUGUAUAGGCUUCACUUAGCAUGCCCUAGAAGAAGAACCAUUAUGGUAUAAGAACAUCAAUUACCAAUCCAAGACUUCCAAAAUAUGGUAUCAUUAGGGAUCUCCAAAUGAGUCCAAGUCAUGGAAGAUCAACACCAGAGACUCAGAGAUCUUGCAUACCUCUGCUAAUUGCGCCUUCCCGGUCUCUACAAGCUCUUUUGCUUCAGAGCAAACUGGAACUGAAUGCUUCACCACGGGUCUUAGAUCCAAAAUAUCUGAUGUUUGGAACAGUGUAGCAGCAUUGAAGUCAUACUUCCGAGCUGCCAUAGUGAUACCCACCUGUUAUGGAUGAGGUCGAAACCGUAAGUUCUAGUUUAAUCACAUCAAAGACAUAUGGAUGUGUAGAGCAAACCAGUGUCAGCGUAGAAGCUAACAAUUAUAUAACUUACCUUCUGGCAAAGAUUGCGGAUAACGGAGACUUUCCGAACGCGCACCGCUGAAUCUUCUGGCAAGUCAAACUACAGAAAGAGGAAAAGCUUUCAGUUCCAAACUAAACAAUGGCAUAAAAAUGCUCAUUCAGAACAUGCACUACCAAUUUUUUUAUAUAUAUGAACAUUCACUAACUACUACAGUCCACGGAUGAUAGUUACAAUAGGUAGAUAAGCUGAAAAUUAAACGACAUUACCUGGUAUUUGAGCUUUGCAAACUCGCGUAUCUCAGACCAUAGUGUUUCUGAACCAAUAUUAAAAUACGAAGAUUGAUUCUUCCUAGGUGCUCCUUUCACCCUUGUUUGGCCUUUAGAUUUUCCAGAAGAUUCCUGAAAAUAAUAAUUUGAAGAUAAAGUAAAAUUUCAUCAAAAAUAUAUUCGGCUGAAGGCAUCACUAAUACAGAAUUAGAAAAGAGUGCUGAAGGCAUUGAAUUCGUUGUAAAAUAAAAUGAUUUAAGGGAGUAAAACAUAGCAUGAAAUGUUCGUUAGUGUCGGUGAGUCGGUUAUACCUUCUUUGGGGAUUUUGUCAGGGAACUAUUAGUAGAAGCUUUUGUGCCAACAGCUUCGCAAUUUCCAAACAAACAAUUGAAAUAAUGUGAGAUUGCUGGACCAAGGUCGUGAUCUUCUGCAUCUCUCAACAAAUCCUGCAAUGCGAACAAAUUAGUGAGGAAGGAAGGGAAAUAAAGGCCUGUGAACAUUCGAAAUCACAAAACACAAAACACAAGAAAGAAUGAAACUUUGAUAUGCAUCACCAAUGCUGAAUCCAGAAGUGGAUAAUCACCUUGAGAACAUGCUUUGCAGAUCUAACUACAAUCUCAUUUGAGCAAAGAUCCCACAGGUGAGGUAAAUGUUUUGUCCCCUCAGCAAUCUGAAAGUUCAACACAAAACAUGGGAUUAAGAAGAAAGCACACCUAAGGUACCAUGGAAGACCUUCAUAAACUUCAGUAAUACCAUUUGAGUCAGAAUUCAGCUCAGUUAUCGAAGAAGAAAAAAUAUCCUUACCCGUCCCAGAUAUCGAACAUUGACUCCAUGAGCAUGAAGUGCCUCAGUAAGGGUCUGACCGUCCAUAGGUGACACUUCAAGAGUGCAAAGAUCUUGAAUAAACUUUGGAAGCACAGUAUCAGCUAGAAAUGAACUAACUCUUCUCACAUUUUCUUCAUCCUUUGUGAUUUCCUGGCAAAAAAGAAAGAAUCAGGAGUAAGAAAAAAUAAAUUACAUGAGCUUCAUGACAAGCAAAGAAAUUGGUGGAGAAACUAUUCACCUCUGGGUCCCCUGCCAAUUUGAACUCAGUGAGCACAUUAGGAUUAAAAAGUAUUUCGUCAUCCAAUUCAGAGCUCACAGCAGGAACAGCAGGUUGUGCAAAAGCAGUAUCAGUUUUCUCCUCAGCUAACUCCUGCCAAUUGAGACAAUAGCAAAUGAUUCAUAAGAAUUGCUUCCCCCAGAAUGAUAAUGGUAUAGAUCACAUCGAUGUUGUGUUUUAUUCACAGCAUGAACAAAUUAAUGACUAUAAAACCCAUAAAAAUAUAUGAUCUUCUUUUAAAUUAAUGACUAUAAAACCCAUAAAAAGAUACGAUCUUCUUUUAAAUUAAGGACCAUAAAACCCAUAAAAAGAUACGAUCUUCUUUAAAAGUAGUCAUUUGCAACUACAGCCGGAAUACCACAUUUAUCAUGUGUGCGUCGAGAAAACAUUGAACUUGCAACCAACAAAGCAAAUAAAUAGGGCCCACCUGAUUGUCAGUAGAGGUUGCAGAUUUUUCCGUUUCGUCCGAGACAGCAACUUCUGUAGCAUUUUCAGUAGCAGGAGCCUCAGGUUCAGUUUUGGACUUGGCCUUUGAUUUCUCUAGAGCUUCAGCCUAUGAAUUGACAAGAAAACAUAAGAAAACAAACAUGUAAGCUAAUAAUGAAAAUAUUCAGCCAGUAACUCACUUGCGAAAAGGCAGAAAUCAGUUCCGGUCUCAAAAUGCAGAAUCUGGAACCUGGUCCAGUGUAGUUAGCAUCACGGGGAGUAACUCUCAUCAAGUCUAAGAGAUAAUGCCUGGGUUCAAGGAUAUGCAGUGUUAUAGACCUACACAAUUCUAAUGGCCAGCAAGGAUAACAAGUGGAAAUCAAGGGGAAAAUAUACCGGUCAUCGCUGCCAACAAUGCCCUUGCAUUCUACUGGUGCAGCUAAUUUGAAACUAUUUCCAGAUCCAUCCAGCACCGAAUGCUCCUUUAGGUGAAGGCGCUUUGCAGCUUCCACUACCUAUAUGCUUAAAGCUUAGACUCACAAUGAAUAUAACACGCAGAACUUUUGAUAUCAUGCUGUUUAUAGAGGUAUUGCGAAAAAAGGAAACAAGUUUUCAGUCACCAAAAAAAACACCAAGGUCCAUAUCUUACCUUAGAGUGGAAAUCUUCAUUCCAGCAUAUUUUCUUGCCAUUGUCAACAGAACCAUACAGAAGAGAGUCUGACUUAUCACCUUGAAGGAUUCCAGGUAAAACACUCUACAAAAUAACACCAAUAGACUCUAAUGAGGAGAGAUCUUACAAUUUACCAUUACAACAUGGCAAAGUGGAAGGGGAUUUGUACUACUACUACUACUACUACACACCUGAGCAACAACUCGGUGUCCUCUAUAGUCAAUUAUCGCCAUGGCGAGAUUAUAAAGACCAGAGAUAUCAGCUUCCUGGUAAGCUUUUGUUCCCUUCAAAUCAUUAUUGGCAGAAGCAUAUGUUGCCUGCUCACUCUCAGCCAAUUGUGUCUCUGGAGAAGUCAACUCAGUUGAACCAUUACUUUCUAGACUGAUAGAUCCAUCGGGUUUUUCCACAGAGGCAACACUAUCAUUCCCAUGUGACACAUUAUUGGGGACCUUCUCAGAUGAAGAUGUAGAAUUGUUAUCCUUCUUUACAUUAAUAUCUGAAGUACGUUUCCUGGACACUUGCUCAAGAUCAGCAUCGACGGCAAAACUAAAAAAUAUGUUGUUGUGGACAUACCUACAACCAAAAGACAGAAAGGUAUCGGCAUAUAAGCAAGCAUUUAAGAGUUCCCCAACAGAAACAUUAAGGGUUCUUUUGCAAUACAUCGUCGAGAGAAGAUAAACUCAGAAGACAUAUCUAUGAAGGAACACUAACAUAUGGAAGCACUCUGGAUCCGUUGGGUUUAUAGGAGGUAUACAUCUACUGAUGACUCCAAUAGCACCACUAACUGCUGCAUCAACAAAAUCAGAAGUGACUUUGUAGAGAGCCCUAUCCCGCAAGAUCCUAUAUCAAAAUCAAGAACAUAACCGUGAACAAAACAAGACAUCCACAUUAAUCAUUAAAAGCAAUGGUGUAGGUACUACAAAUCAUCAGAUACACAUUUUCCAGCAAGUGGCCGAAUGUUUAAGCCUAGGUUGAAUCGGAGCACGUUUAGUAUACCUUUCCUGAGGACUUGUAUGGGGGAAUUCCCUACAAGAUUGCAACUCCUCAUUCCAAUCUCUUUGCAUUCCAAUUAACUCACUUCCAUAUGAAAGGUUUAUUACAUCUUCUGCCCUGGCUGCAUCCCGCCUGUGGUCUAACAACACAAAUUUUCAAUUAGUUCAUCAAAAUAGAACCAACACUGAACUGGAACCAUGUCGAUGACUUUCCGUUUCUCUAGCAAAAAAGGUAAGGCCUUGUAUCCAAACUAAGAAUAAAAAGAUCUCCAUUCCACCGGGAGGAUUAGGCACUAGCCUUACUCAAUUACUACACAAUUCCUGUGUUUGAGAGAAAGGAACUUACCAGGUACAGGGUGCAAUCCUAGCCAAGAAUUUGGUGGUAAAAGAGACUGAACAUUUUCAAAAGGAUGCGCCGAUGCCUUCUUCUCCAGGAGUUCACGAAAAGCUUCGAAAGAAGAACGAUUUUUUAAAAUAACAAUGAAACAAUAGCGACCAAGGUCCCAGAUUCAGGCUGCAAAAAUAAAUUCCGCACCUUUUUUGAACUUUGAGCUUAUCUUUUGUAACAAAGCAAUAAGGGUGGUUGCUUCAAAAGUAGAUUUUCCAGGGUUUGGGUCAAGAACAUUGCCAGCACUAGAAUUAACAUAGAAUGCUCUUGUUGAUCCGGUAAUACAAAAUUUGUUACCCUCCAAUGUCACCACAUCCAAGUAGAUGAGAUCUCCAACAAGCCUAGACAAAAAAGAAAUAAAAAGAUUUGUCUUGCUGGAGCAAAAUGAUGGCUAGCAACAGAACAUAUUCUAUAAAGGCAUAAUUUGAUCACUAAACGAGAGAUAGAAAGAAGAGAAUCAGACCUCCUAUAGUUUGGGGGAGGAUUGAAUGAUGAGAACACAACACUCUCCACACAUUUAACCUCCUUAGAUGGCGAUGAUAGCAAUUUACCAAGGGAACCUGAGACAUCUUCCAUGAAUCCUAGUCCAUCCAGCUCAGGAAUCUCAGGUUUCACUGCAUCUGCAUCACAGAGAAUCACAGAUCUCAGAUCACAUUUCAAAGCAAAAUUUAAGAGCUUAGAAACCACGAAAACACAAGAAUGAAGAAACCACCUGAAGCCACAGCCUUAUUUUGUGCUGCCUCGUACUCCAGUGCAAGUGAAGUAGACAGCGAGGCGUGAAGAGUAGAAAGUGAAAUUAAUUCUCUGGUGCGAUGGACGUGAGCCCUGAUCGAUCUGUCGUCGUACGGGGCUGCAAGGAAGGUUUCCACGUUAAAAGUUUGUUUCCUUUUAUUUUUUAAGCAAGGCAAGUAGAGUAAUUUACCAGCAACCAUCUCCAAAGAGCAACCACCCGUGGUAAUAUCAGCUACUUCAGAAAUUUCAUUAUAAUCUUCCAGUUGAUGAGAAGACCCAUCCUUUGUGUGGAGCAACAAAUCAUAGCAAGUGAAGAAGCAUGUCUCAGGGGCAUCAAGAAGGAACUGUCUUAUGUCCAUGACCGAAUCCCCUGGGUUCAACUGUAAUCACAUGUUGGAAGAACGAUAUGAGAUAUGGAUUUCAAAACCAAGUAAAAUCUCCGAGAAACACCAUCUAGAGAAGAGGAAAAGGGAAACAAUCAUGCAGUAAUGAAAUGAGUAAUAAACAAACUAAGGCACAGUACUAUUUACUCACUUGCAGCUCAAGCUUCUCCCCACUCUGUGUUUUCACAGGGACAGCAAAGAGAUGAAGAUCCCCUGCACUCGUGCGAUGAACAUAAUGUCAAACGUCUUGAUACAAAAUAUAAUGAAAGACAAAACUGUUCCAAAAACUCAAGUUCAGGUCAAUUAAAGCUGACACAUGCAAGGAACAGCGGAUGAAAGCGAUUCCUAUUGGAGAGAAAAAAUCAGAUGGGCGAAGUUAGGGUGCAACUGUCACUGCCAGAUACCAAUGAGUUUUGUUGUCGGAAGCUACAUGCAUGAGAAUGCUUUCCAUAAAAGUCCGUAAAUUUAUGCACUUUCUCAAUAGGAUGUCAUGUAUGAAACAAAGAUGCAUAUAUAAAGCAAGAUGCCUAUAUACUUCUCCAGGAAUCCAAAGCAUUAAAUUCAACAUGAAUCCACAAUCUGACCUUGCUGUUUGGGUUCCCCCGCAGCAUCAGUAGAUUGAAGCUCCUCAACGUCUGGCUUAUAAACAGCAGAUUCAGGCUUCUUACCCUCCGGCUUAUUAUCAGAAGGUUCAUUAACAACGGCUACUCCAUUAGUCUUCUCAAUCUCGGCAGGCUCCAGAACAGUGACAGCGUCCUUCACAGGAGCAGUAGACGACACUACCGAAUCAGAAGCAUUCACAACAGUAGACGACACUGCUGAAUCAGAAGCAUUGACAGCAGUAGAUGUGCCUCUCUUAUUCCUCCCCUUGUUAGAUUUCCCAGCCAUUGUUAACACCGCUUAGUUCCAAGCCUGGAGGGAAAAGAUAAUAACUUUUCACAACUCAGCAACAAGGAAAACAAGAUAAACAUGCGGCCAUGCAUCCCAGUGUGAUAUAUCUCCAAAUCAACGAAGGAUCCAGUGUCCAAAAACUCCAGCACAUGCCUAAACCUUGUCAGGAAAUCAGAAUAAACAGCCAGGCAUCCAACAAACACAUAUAAAAAGAAAUUGAGAAGCAACAAAGUCCUACCACAGAAGUUCACAUACAGCACCAGAAGCAGUAAAAAUUGAAUAGUAAUAUGACCCAACAUAGAUUACCGAUGCAGCUGCGCAGAAAGGCGAAUUAGCUUGAAGGGGAAAAAGAUAAAAAUGUCGAAAUGGGGUUUUAUGGGGUUGAAGGAGGCUGAGGUUUUAUGGAGGAAGAGAGGGUUAUAAAAAGGGGCGGAGAUGGGAAGUGGCUGAGGGUCGGCGGAAGGUGUUCUUCAUCAAAGAAUAUGUUACUUGAGGAUUUUAAGAAAGAAUCACGACCGUUUAUUCAAACUAUUUGAUCUGACGGGUUGAAGUUAAAAGGUCAAAAUUUCAACUUGUGUAAUUCUUUUUUUUUUCCGACGAAAAGUAGUCAUCGACAAUAAUAUAUUGAAGUGCACAUGCACGUGACUUUGUUGGCAAGUCAAUUCGAAGGUACGAUACCAACAGACGAGGACGUAUAAAGUAGAUUGUCUCGUUAACGUAUGGAUAACCUAAAUCCUUUCUCGCAUAAUAAAACAAUAAUCAUAACCUCUACAACUCUAAUCAAUGUGUGACACAUUCACACCGCAUCUUCAUAUUCGGUCAAGUCUUCCCCAUCGCGGUGAAGGGUCGUGCCCUGAAGUUGUGAGGUGCGAAGAUGACGUUAGGAAGCUAGAGAUCAAUAACCCAUCACAAAGCCUCCAACAAUACAACAUCAUCGCCUUCCUUUGUUGGUAUCAAUCCAUCGCGUUGUUGCACUUGAAAAUGGAGCACCACGCAUGUAUGAUCUCGGAUCAUCAUCUCCAAACUGGUUUGUGUUGACUGUCGAAAGUAGCGACAUCGAUGUUGCAUUUUAGGCAGCUAGUUUGGGGUGCCAUUUGCCACAGUAUGCCGAUGAAUGAGUGGAUCGCCCGCCUCACCAUCUGACGAUGUCUUUUAGACUUUCGUUCCUGCAAAUACCUCUAGAUGUCUUUCAUUACCAUACUAGUUGGUUUAGUUUGAUUAAUUGUUCCAAACGAGGUUAUUCUGUACUAUCCAUAUACCCCAUAAACCCGCGACCAGCUUCUAAUAACGUGUGUGUUACAAACGAUUAAAAACUCAAAUUCCAUUAUAUUAAUUUUUUAAAUCCGAACCACAUUAAGAAAAAACCCAACUUUCAUUUUUUGGCAGUAUUUUACAAUUUUUUUGCAUUUUUCAAUGGAUAAACCUCUUUUUUAAUUUUUUAUGAAAAUUUUUAAAUUUUAAAUUAAUUAAUUUUUUAAUACAUAUUAGAAACAGUUUAAAAUCAAAUUCCAUCAUCAUAAGUUUUGAAUUUUAACCAAAUAAAGUUAAAAAACACAUUUUUCGUGGCUGUUUUACGAGUUUUUUCCUUGGCCAUUAGCUUUGCUUGAGCAUAAAUGGGCCUGCUGCAAAAACAAAUUCAGUCACAGGCCUGCGGAUGCUGACUAAGCAUUGGGCCCAAAGCCCCAAAUUGGCGAAACGGGUAAUCGGUACAAAAACAGUACACGAAAGGUUUAUUUUGGUGUACACGGAAGAGAAUCCCCGCGCGAAUCGUGCUUCCAUCGUCACCCUCACGCGCCACCGUGGUUGCGUUUGCCGCCGCCCCCCGAUUUCAAUAAAAUCCGCCUUUUUCUUCUCCAUCAACCUCCAGACGCUCCUCUGCAAACUCCCAAAAAAGGAAAGCUUACAAGAGAGAGAAAGAAAACAAUGGAGGUCCCGGUGAUAGAUCUGUCCCGGUACUUGGAGAUCGCCGGCCAACUUACCACCGACGAUCCGGCUAAACUCACCGCUCAAUUGGAUGAGCACGGCACUUGGCUCCUCGAGCUGUGCACGGAAGUGAGCCGAAUCCUCAAGGAAACCGGUGCUUUAGUUGUCAAGGAUCCUAGAUGUAGCGCCGAUGAUAACGAUCGCUUCAUCGAUAUGAUGGAAAAGUACUUCGAAAUGCCGGACGACUUCAAGCGGCUGCAGGAGAGACCUCACUUGCAUUAUCAGGUAACGUCUGCAUAUUUGAAUUUUCUCAUUUCCUUGAAGUUUAUGCUGUUCUUGCUUCAUUCAUUCAUUUUCACUGAUUUGGAACUAAAUGGAGGGUUGAGCGAGUUGAAGAAAUUUGUUCCAAACCUCAAAUAUCUUCUGAUUUUGCCGUGUAUUGUUUUGGCAGGUUGGGGUGACACCUGAAGGAGUAGAAGUGCCAAGAAGCCUGGUUGACGAGGAGAUUCAAGAGAAGUUGAAGGAGAUGCCUAAGGAGUUUCAGCCAUCGUUUCCUAAAGGAGCUGAUCCCAAAUGGAGAUACAUGUGGAGAGUAGGACCAAGGCCAUCAAAUACUCAGUUCAAGGUACUGGAGAUCUCUGUCCUGUUUGAGUUGCUUUUAUCCUAUAGUUGCUAACUUUGCUGAUUUUGGAAAUUCAGGAACUUAAUGCAGAGCCUGUCAUCCCUGAGGGAUUCCCUGAAUGGAAAGAUACCAUGGACUCUUGGGGUCUCAAGAUGAUCUCAGCAAUAGAGGUGAGCCAUUAGUCUCUCGAUGGCGAUUCGAUUCUGAUAGGCUUUUGCUUUAACUGACGUUUCUCUCUUGAACCAGGCUGUUGCUGAAAUGGCAGCUAUAGGUUUUGGAUUGCCCAAGGAUGCAUUUACUUCUAUUAUGAAGCAGGUGAUGGCUCGUUUCUGAAAUUAGGAUUUGUCUCAUUCUCAAAGUAUAAUUAGGCUUGAAAUAACCUGAAAAUUGAAUGUAAAGAUUUGAACUUUUCAUUGUAAAUCUUACAGAAACAUUGAUAGAAUGAAUGUGUCUGAUAGAAUAAUUUCCUUUCAGUCUCCCAUCUCCUGAGUGGCAUCGUUUGUAACAAGUUGUUCAUAUGUUCAUUUUUUUUUUCAAGAAUCUGUCUUUCAAUCCAGCGUCUCAUCUCGGUGAUAGUUAUGCAUAUAGAAAGCAUCAUCUCACUAGCCCGAUUUUCCUUGUCUCCUCCAGGGACCUCAUCUUCUUGCUCCGACAGGGAGUGACCUCAGUCGCUACGGUGAGGAAGGCACUGUGUUUGCUGGGUAUCAUUACGACCUCAACUUUCUCACAAUUCACGGCCGAAGUAGAUUCCCUGGCCUUAGCAUUUGGCUAAGAAACGGCCAAAAGGUUGAAGUGAAGGUUCCUGUUGGAUGUCUCCUUAUCCAAGCAGGGAAGCAGGUAUCACGUUUAAAUGGUGGAUCAAUGCAAUGAAAUCUAGACAUGGCGUUCGAUUAAACAUAACGAAAUUGUUUCGGAUUAAGUGAUAACUCGACCCUGCUUGGAUCUGCAGAUAGAGUGGUUGACCGGUGGCGACUGCUUGGCCGGAAUGCACGAGGUAGUUGUGACAAAGAGGACAACCGAGGCAAUCAAAUCAGCAUCCGAGCAAAACCGCAGCUUAUGGAGAGUAUCCUCAACGGUAAAAUGAAAGCAAAACUAUCCUUUUGUAUAGUUACCGUCAUAUCUGCUCACCAGCAUUGUCCUUCUGGUGCAGCUUUUCUCGCACAUAGCAUCCGAUGCAGUGUUGAAGCCUCUAGGCCACUUUGCGGAAUCUCCCGUGGCGAGCAAGUAUCCGCCCCUGUACGCAGGAGAAUUCGUCGAGCAGGAGCUUGCAGUUAUCAAUCUCAAGGGGAAGACAACAUGAUUAACUCGUACAUUUGCGACACUUUACCACGUUGAUACAUUCUUCAGCUAAUGAAGGAAACUAAUGUUGAAGAUAAUCAUUUUUUAGUAAAGCUUUGUGUUACGGAAACUUGGCAGUCUUUUACCCUGUCCAUAUCGAUUUGAGCAAUUGCGCGAAGUAAAACCGGACUGCAUGAAGUAGAAACCUACAGACUGCGAGAAGUAGAAACCUACAGACUACGAGAAGUAGAAAACGAACAGCAUUUAUCAAUCGGUACUUUAGCCGAUAAGUUUUCGUGCGAAUUAUGUGACUGCACUUAAAGCAAGCAGUUGGAUUGGGUAACUUCCAUCACAGGGAAACCAACAACUCUUCUUGGAACAUCACACACCACAUGUAUUUUCUUGCUAUCCUAGCUAAACUUUCAUCCAUGGUGAUCCCCAAAAAGCAUUAAUUCUCUCAUUUUCAUUUCUUCCUUCUUCUGUAUAUAAACCUUUUGACAAUUUCAUUGGAGCAUCUCAUCUCCUACCUACAAUUUUCAAGCCAAUUCAAUGGAACAUUCUUCCCAUGUCAUCACCCUAUUCCUCUUCUUGAUUUUCAUCUCUUCCUCAUCGGUUUCCAAUGGUGUGAUUUUCACCCUCGAAAAUCGGUGCAACACCACCAUAUGGCCCGCCACGCUCUCAGGAAGAGGUCCUCUACUCAUCGACGGAGGCACAGAACUACCCCCCGGUGAGUCGAUCACCUUCACCGUCCCAGCUCGAUGGUCAGGACGAAUCUGGCCCCGCACAGGGUGCAGUUUCCAUUCCAACACCACCAACACCACAGGUACGGCAGUGAAAUGCUCGACUGGCGACUGUGGUGGUGGGUUGUUGGAAUGCAGGGGAGCCGGUGGCCAGCCACCCGUUGAUUUUCAUCUCUUCCUCAUCGGUUUCCAAUGGUGUGAUUUUCACCCUCGAAAAUCGGUGCAACACCACCAUAUGGCCCGCCACGCUCUCAGGAAGAGGUCCUCUACUCAUCGACGGAGGCACAGAACUACCCCCCGGUGAGUCGAUCACCUUCACCGUCCCAGCUCGAUGGUCAGGACGAAUCUGGCCCCGCACAGGGUGCAUUUUCCAUUCCAACACCACCAACACCACAGGUACGGCAGUGAAAUGCUCGACUGGCGACUGUGGUGGUGGGUUGUUGGAAUGCAGGGGAGCCGGUGGCGAGCCACCAGCAACGAUCGCCGAGUUCACACUCGACGAAGACAUCGAUUUCUACGAUGUCAGCCUUGUCGACGGAUUCAACAUCCCCGUCUCUAUAUACCCUUCUGCAGGGACCGGAUCAGACUGCAGGAAAGUCGAGUGCUUUACGGACCUGAACAAGAGGUGCCCGAAGGAACUGCAGGUGUUGGAUGGAGGGAGCCGAGUCAUGGCGUGUAAGAGUGCUUGCACCGCUUACAAUACUCCCCAGUACUGCUGCACCGGGGAGUACGGAAGCCCUCAGAGCUGCAAGCCUACGGAUUUCUCCAGGAUGUUUAAGGACGCGUGUCCGAGCUAUUACAGCUACGCUUACGAUGAUGCGACCAGUAUCUUCACUUGUAGAAGAAAAGCCGAUUAUUUGAUCAGAUUCUGUUGAGAACAUCCCCUCUUUGUUCGAAUCGAUGUCGCGAGGACAUGAUUCAAUAAGUUUAUGAACAUUAAAUGAAAGACAAGUAGGCCAACAUUUCUCUAGGAACUCUGCAAAAGCUUUCCUUUUGAUGAACUUUCUUUUCUUGGAGAAUUAACAAUAGUUGAAUAGUUACAGGAGGGUCUGACUUUCCAUUUCUAAUCUUUAAUUCUAAUCCAGCAAGCUGGGAAAAGCAGCAGACGUUUCCUGUAUUAUCCUAUAGAUCUACAGCUACAACAAAGUCAACAACUACCAUAUACUUGAGAUUUCAUUAACCAGAAUAACUAGUUAUAUCUGCUUGUUGCCCCCCAGCUUCCUAAUCUCUUAACUGUAUAUGUACAUUAAACCCCCUCAGCAGAUCAUGCUGUGUGUUCCCUCAAACAUGUGCAUCUGGCUUUUGUAUCCCUCAAGUUCUGCACGAAAAGAAAUAUUCAAAAAUCAUUUGAAUGUAAGUUGACUAAUCUAAUCCAAUCCAAUAUGAGUUUUGGUUAUACCUGGACUUGUUUCUGCAGGUCUUUGAUGUAAUCAACUGCCAUAUCCAACAUCUCCGAUGUAUUCGUUUGCUGCUAACCGAAACAAAGAGGAAAACACUUCUGUUAGCCCUCGAAAUUUCGGAGCUUUUCAUCAGGAUGAAGCUAUAACUAUUAACUGGAUAGACUAAAAACCAGUUACCUUGUCUGUUUUGGGGAAAAGCUCCUGCAGUUUUCUCAUUCUUUCGCUUAUUUUCGUCCUUCUCACCUGCAAAAUUCCAAACACUUUAAGUUCCUGAAAGAAGAAUUAAACAGUAGCUUGAUAAUAGGAAAAGAAAAAAAAAACACAUUAAUUACCCUCUCAGCAAUGCUUCGUGGGUGAGUUGCGAAACCUCGUUUAGCUCGAAUCUUACAAGGCACGGCACCGGAUUGAAGCUGCAAGAACUUCUCUAUUGAUUCCAUCUCAGCAGCAGUUUUAGGCAGGCUUAAAUGGUGACUCAACCGGCUUCCCCCAUUCUGCGAAAAUCGAAAAAAAAUCAAUCUUUAUAAAGACAGCUCUAAGAAGACUAAUAGCUGGCAAAUGCAGUUCGUGGUUUACCUGCUGCUGGAGAUUGUCCAGUCCAAACAAGUCGAGAUCAUCAUCGUCGCGACGAUCCUGCUUUAGUUUCUUGUUUCCAGUACUCCAAGAAGCAUUGUCCCAUGAGAUGUUGACAGAUGAAGAAUAAGGCCUUUUCCCGGAGUUCGAACUUGUUGUGCUAAGGAAGGUCUCCUCCCCAAUUUCAGAAAUCUUAGGCAACUGUGUACUCCUUCUUAACUUACUACCACUGUUGCUCCUUGUUGAUGGAUUGGCUUCCCCAACUCCAUGGAACCCUACAAAAAGCAAUAGAGAAAAAUUUAAUGCUUCCAUUAUGAAACGAAACUAAACUCUUGCUGAGAAAAACCACGGGCAACAGAGGCGAAAAUAGCUCCACUGUGAUCAGAUAGUACAAGCUCGAAAAGGAUUUACAAUGAUUUCAAGAUAUCUCGAACGACAACACAAGAGGGUAAUUAAACUAGGUGAAAACGGAUAGUCCAAAGUACGAUCGGUUCGUACUUUUACGAAGGGGAUUUGGAUCACUAAAUUUCGAACAGAAAUGGUCAACUUAAGAAACCUCACAUAAUAAAAUGAUAUAAUUGGUACCUUUCCUUGACUUAAAGAGGAACGUGAAUGAAUGACAAUGACAGAGAGGCACUGAAUCCAGAUUCAAUCAUAAUACUUACUGGAUCUAGAUAAACAUGGUUGUCAUCAAACCAUUUCAUCCCGAAUAACUCGAGUUUGUUGGGAAAGAUUCGAAAUUUGUUAUUAAGAACUGAAGCUUACGCAGUUUUGAUAAGUUUCAGAACAGACCUCUCGAUCAUUAAAGGCUACUGUUAUGAAAAGAAUCUAAGUAAAGGUUUACCAUUUUCAACGACGAUGCUGGAGAAGAAUCCAGCUGGCGAGCUAUUAUGUCGAGCUAGAUUCGAUCCAUUACCACUACCAGCAGCAAACGAAGAAGAAGAAGGUCCCAAAACGCUGCUGAAUGUUGUCGUAUCAAUACAAGACGACGUCGUAUGAUCACCCCCCAAAUUAUUAUAACUGCCGAUUUCCGAAUCGGCGGCAGCUUCCUUCUU